rnacentral:rRNA from 1 species
GAUGAACGCUGGCGGCGUGCCUAAUACAUGCAAGUCGAGCGAACAGAUGAGGAGCUUGCUCCUCUGACGUUAGCGGCGGACGGGUGAGUAACACGUGGAUAACCUAGCUUUAAGACUGGGAUAAAUUCGGGAAACCGGAGCUUAUACCGGCUAAUAUAUUGAACCGCAUGGUUGAAUAGUGAAAGACGGUUUUGCUGUCACUUAUAGAUGGUUCCGCGCCGCAUUAGCUAGUUGGUAAGGUAACGGCUUACCAAGGCAACGAUGCGUAGCCGACCUGAGAGGGUGACCAGCCACACUGGAACUGAGACACGGUCCAGACUCCUACGGGAGGCAGCAGUAGGGAAUCUUCCGCAAUGGGCGAAAGCCUGACGGAGCAACGCCGCGUGAGUGAUGAAGGUCUUCGGAUCGUAAAACUCUGUUAUUAGGGAAGAACAAAUGUGUAAGUAACUAUGCACUUCUUGACGGUACCUAAUCAGAAAGCCACGGCUAACUACGUG